AUGCCCAGCACUGGGCAGGAGGAAGGCAUCCUCAGGGCAAGGGUCUGCUAUCAGGGGGCUCUGGGCCGCAGCUCCUGGGCACUUCCAGAUUCCUGCAGCGCAGAGAAGUUUUACUGGGAGGGAGCACCCUGCGGCUGGAGAGACCCCGUUGCGAACACCCAGCGACGAAGUCUACAGCAGCCCAGGUCUGUGCUGCCUCCUGGUGGCGACAGAUUUUACUACACACGGCCCCCACGUGAAAGGAGUUUCUCUUCAGUGGCCCAGUUACUUUCUGUUGUGCAGAAGUCCCGAGCCACGGAUAUUCGGAUACUUGCUCCACUUUAUAAAAAGGAUGAGGAUUUGCACCCCUCCUCUGAUUGAUCUCUUUUAUGUUGGUGUGAUUUCUGGCAAACGCCUCUGAGGGCUUAGCUGAAUGAUUUGGAUACAACAUCACUGACUGUUCCAAUUUAGGAAACUCUCACGAGAUUGCAUGAAGACAAAGACUCUGCAGAGAGGAGCAGCCCCGUAGCGCUCGAAUGCUCUAAUCUGAGUUCUGCUCCGCAAAGUCCCUUCUAAUCCUCUUGUACCCUGCUGUGGCUAGCAGUCUAGGGAAGGGCAGCAAGAGUGAAAUCUGCAGGAUACAGAUUUAAUUCAAUCUAGCAAACAUUUACUGAACACCUCUGGUGUGCCAGACACUGGGCCAGGUUCUGGGGCUACAAAGAUUAAUAGAAUAUGAUCCUAGAACUCAAGGAGGCCACUGUUUACCGGCAAAGAGCUACAACCACAGUGGAUAACAGAACAGAGAAGGGGAUGGAAGGUAGUGUCACUGAAGGAAUGACACGGAUGUGUCUUAAAUGAUAAGGAGACAUUGACAGGGAGAGAAGGGCAAGCGGGCAUUCCAGGCAGAGAAAACAUCAGCAAAGUUAAGGAGGUGUCAAAGUCCACGAUAUUUAGGGUAAGAGUUGAAAUGACUUUGUCGUGGGGAGAAAUGGGAGAAAAGAAUAGAAACGUGGUCUGAGGGACAAUUGUUCAUUCAACAAAUAUUUACUGAUGGUUUAUAAGAGCAAAAAGAAACAAACUAAUCCCAACCUAUGUAGAGGUGGGAGGUGGAGUGGGGUGAGCGCCCAGGAAAAUGAUAUAUAUGUUUCAGUUUGCUAAGGUUGCCAUAACAAAGUACCACAAAGUGUGUUGUUUACACAACAGAAGUUUAUUGCCUCCUAAUUCUCGAAGCUGGAAGUCCAAGAUCAAGGUGUCCGCAAGGUGUGUUCCUUCUGUGGGGAGUGAGGGAGGAAGGAUCUGUUUCAGGGCUUGUCCCCG
rnacentral:lncRNA from 1 species